UGUGUGCCUACAGAAAUUAAAAAGAAUACGGAUGAUAAUGUUUCAUACCAGCUGUAGAGGACGACUUGGGGUCAAAUAGAGGAAAUGAAAACGAUAAAGACAUUUUUACUUCAAUAGGUGACUGUAUAUGAUGCCCACAGUCCAAUAAUCAAGAUAAUGACAACUGCAGCUGAUAAAAGACUUUUUUGGAAACGUUUUACUGUAUAUGAUCGGGAAAGAGACUUUUGGAGCGUGGACAACUUGUUGUAAAAAUCAUCCGAUACGCCAUAAGAAUCUAAAGGAUAGAGAAUUUGUUGUACAGAUAAAGGUGAAUCAGAGCAGAGAAUGAAGAAGUUGACAAAGAAA